rnacentral:sRNA from 1 species
GCAACACAGACCCUUUGCUGCUGCUGUUGCUGCUGCUGCUGCUGUUGCUGCUGCUGCUACUGCUGCUGCUGCUACUGCUGCUGCUUGGCCCUGGCUGGAGACAUCUCACUACACCCAGGAGCAGCCACUUCCCCAGCUCUCCUCCUCCUCCUUCGCCUCCUCCUCCUCCACUCCCCCCCUUUAUUACCCUUUGUGUCAUCCUCCACAGCUCCAGGGAAGGCACUCAAAAGUGGGGGGCAGGAAAGCCCACAUAUGACAGUGGACAUAGAGGACAACGCAGAUAUAGAACAUUUCUUUUAUCACAAUGUACAUUGAAGAUGUCAGUUUCUACAUGUGGGAAGUAGACAUUGAAGGCUUUAUGGUUUACAGACAAGAUCUUUAGAAGUUAAGCACUAAAGGACCAAGGAAAUAAAUACCAGAAAUCAAGAAGAGCACAGACUAUUUUCCUUCAUCAAUCCAUAGAACCCUAAUGCUUCUUUAG